ACGGGAGGCAGCAGUGAGGAAUAUUGGUCAAUGGGCUAGAGCCUGAACCAGCCAAGUAGCGUGAGGGAUGACGGCCCUAUGGGUUGUAAACCUCUUUUGUCAGGGGAUAAAGUGCGGGACGUGUCCCGUUUUGUAUGUACCUGAAGAAUAAGGACCGGCUAAUUCCGUGCCAGCAGCCGCGGUAAUACGGAAGGUCCGGGCGUUAUCCGGAUUUAUUGGGUUUAAAGGGAGCGCAGGCCGCCUCUUAAGCAUGCUGUGAAAUGUAGGCGCUCAACGUCUGCACUGCAGCGUGAACUGGGAGGCUUGAGUACGCGGGAAGUAGGCGGAAUUCGUCGUGUAGCGGUGAAAUGCUUAGAUAUGACGAAGAAUUCCGAUUGCGAAGGCAGCUUACUGUAGCGCCACUGACGCUAAAGCUCGAAAGUGCGGGUAUCGAACAGGAUUAGAUACCCUGGUA
rnacentral:rRNA from 1 species